rnacentral:rRNA from 1 species
CAGUCGCCACGGUAAUACGAAGGGGGCUAGCGUUGCUCGGAAUUACUGGGCGUAAAGGGCGCGUAGGCGGACAGUUCAGUCGGGGGUGAAAGCCCGGGGCUCAACCUCGGAAUUGCCUUCGAUACUGGCUGUCUUGAGUAUGAGAGAGGUGUGUGGAACUCCGAGUGUAGAGGUGAAAUUCGUAGAUAUUCGGAAGAACACCAGUGGCGAAGGCGACACACUGGCUCAUUACUGACGCUGAGGCGCGAAAGCGUGGGGAGCAAACAGGAUUAGAGACCCGCGUAGUCCCUGUCUCUUAUCC